ACAAGUCUCCGGUUCAAUCUGCACAUCUGGGCAAUUUGCGCAUGUCAUGACUGCCUCUGUUUCCUAGUAGAACCGUCUCAUGGACUCUCAUCUUCCCUCUGCAUGUGAGCUGAGGUUCAUUCAUCUCAUUGAUAGGUUCAGACAAAUCUGCCUUUCCACCUCCAUCUUUCAUGUCUUCACCCUCCAUCCUCAGUCCCUUAUCCACACCCACCCCCCCUAUGAAGCAAUAAUGUUUAUUUCUCUAAGAGGGACUGGGCCUAGCAGUAAAGAGAACAGAAUUUCAGCAGUCGACGCACAACAUGCUUUCGUGAUACAAGUUAGGAGAAAGAAUGCUGAUUCCCAGCAACACCCGUGGGGAAUUCCAUGGAGUCCACCUGGGCUAGUUGCCACUCUGCAGGUAUUUUAUUUUGCACAGCCAGUAUUCCCACUUCCUGAACUGCUCUUAGCCCUACUCUCCCUGAGAUGGGGGUUAAGGAGAGCCAGUGCUCACUUGUAGACCUAACUGUAUCCUACACAGUGUCCAUAGGGGUGGAGAAGAUGCCAGAAAGGAAAAGGCUAACCCUUCAAGUAUAAGGACAAGUAGAAAUAGUAAGUUUCAACCUCUCAAGGGCUCAGAAUAAUGGCUUAGGCUUUCCUUAUGGUGGCUCAUGCCUGUAAUCCCAGCACUUUGGGAGGCCAAGGUGGGUGGAUCACCUGCGGUUGGGAGUUCGAGUCCAGCUUGGCCAACAUGGUGAAACCCCAUCUCCACUAAAAAUACAAAAACUAGCCAGGCUUGAUGGCAGGUGACUGUAAUCCCAGCUACUGGGGAGGCUGAGGCAGGAGAAUCACUUGAACCCUGGAGGCAGAGGUAGCAGUGAGCUGAGACUGUGCCAUUGCACUCUCCAGCCUGGGCAACAAGAGCAAAACUCCGUUUCAAAAAAAAAAAAGAAAGAAAAGAAAAAUAAAGUUCUCACACAGGCCGGAAACCCAGCCAACCUCAUUUUUAUAUACUAUUACCUAGCACAUCUUUUCAAAGAUUUAUGGUUAUUAUCGCCAUCUACUCACCCACAUAAUCACUAGCCU
rnacentral:lncRNA from 10 species